rnacentral:rRNA from 1 species
UUAAGUUAUUAAGGGCGCACGGUGGAUGCCUUGGCACUAGAAGCCGAUGAAGGACGUUACUAACGACGAUAUGCUUUGGGUAGCUGUAAGUAAGCGUUGAUCCAGAGAUUUCCGAAUGGGGGAACCCAGCACAAGUUAUGUUGUGUUAUCGACAAGUGAAUUCAUAGCUUGUCAGAAGGCAGACCCGGAGAACUGAAACAUCUUAGUACCCGGAGGAAGAGAAAGAAAAUUCGAUUCCCUGAGUAGCGGCGAGCGAAACGGGAAGAGCCCAAACCAAUAAGCUUGCUUAUUGGGGUUGUAGGACACUCUAUACGGAGUUACAAAGGAAUAUAUUAAACGAAUCAUCUGGAAAGUUGAAUCAAAGAAGGUAAUAAUCCUGUAGUUGAAAAUAUAUUCUCUCUUGAGUGGAUCCUGAGUACGACGGAGCACGUGAAAUUCCGUCGGAAUCUGGGAGGACCAUCUCCUAAGGCUAAAUACUCUCUAGUGACCGAUAGUGAACCAGUACCGUGAGGGAAAGGUGAAAAGCACCCCGGAAGGGGAGUGAAAGAGAACUUGAAACCGUGUGCUUACAAGUAGUCAGAGCCCGUUAAUGGGUGAUGGCGUGCCUUUUGUAGAAUGAACCGGCGAGUUACGAUCUGAUGCAAGGUUAAGCAGAAAAUGUGGAGCCGUAGCGAAAGCGAGUCUGAAUAGGGCGUAUAGUAUUUGGUCGUAGACCCGAAACCAGGUGAUCUACCCAUGGUCAGGUUGAAGUUCAGGUAACACUGAAUGGAGGACCGAACCGACUUACGUUGAAAAGUGAGCGGAUGAACUGUGGGUAGCGGAGAAAUUCCAAUCGAACUUGGAGAUAGCUGGUUCUCUCCGAAAUAGCUUUAGGGCUAGCCUCAAGUGAUGAUUAUUGGAGGUAGAGCACUGUUUGGACGAGGGGCCCCUCUCGGGUUACCGAAUUCAGACAAACUCCGAAUGCCAAUUAAUUUAACUUGGGAGUCAGAACAUGGGUGAUAAGGUCCGUGUUCGAAAGGGAAACAGCCCAGACCACCAGCUAAGGUCCCAAAAUAUAUGUUAAGUGGAAAAGGAUGUGGCGUUGCCCAGACAACUAGGAUGUUGGCUUAGAAGCAGCCAUCAUUUAAAGAGUGCGUAAUAGCUCACUAGUCGAGUGACACUGCGCCGAAAAUGUACCGGGGCUAAACAUAUUACCGAAGCUGUGGAUUGUCCUUUGGACAAUGGUAGGAGAGCGUUCUAAGGGCGUUGAAGCAUGAUCGCAAGGACAUGUGGAGCGCUUAGAAGUGAGAAUGCCGGUGUGAGUAGCGAAAGACGGGUGAGAAUCCCGUCCACCGAUUGACUAAGGUUUCCAGAGGAAGGCUCGUCCGCUCUGGGUUAGUCGGGUCCUAAGCUGAGGCCGACAGGCGUAGGCGAUGGAUAACAGGUUGAUAUUCCUGUACCACCUAUAAUCGUUUUAAUCGAUGGGGGGACGCAGUAGGAUAGGCGAAGCGUACGAUUGGAUUGUACGUCUAAGCAGUGAGAUUGAGUGUUAGGCAAAUCCGGCACUCUUAAGAUUGAGCUGUGAUGGGGAGAGGAAAUUGUUUCCUCGAGUCGUUGAUUUCACACUGCCGAGAAAAGCCUCUAGAUAGAGAUUAGGUGCCCGUACCGCAAACCGACACAGGUAGUCAAGAUGAGAAUUCUAAGGUGAGCGAGCGAACUCUCGUUAAGGAACUCGGCAAAAUGACCCCGUAACUUCGGGAGAAGGGGUGCUCUUUAGGGUGCAAGCCCAGAAGAGCCGCAGUGAAUAGGCCCAAGCGACUGUUUAUCAAAAACACAGGUCUCUGCUAAACCGUAAGGUGAUGUAUAGGGGCUGACGCCUGCCCGGUGCUGGAAGGUUAAGAGGAGUGGUUAGCUUCUGCGAAGCUACGAAUCGAAGCCCCAGUAAACGGCGGCCGUAACUAUAACGGUCCUAAGGUAGCGAAAUUCCUUGUCGGGU